AUUGAACGCUGGCGGCAGGCCUAACACAUGCAAGUCGAACGAGUGGCGGACGGGUGAGUAAUGUCUGGGAAACUGCCUGAUGGAGGGGGCUAACUACUGGAAACGGUAGCUAAUACCGCAUACCAUCAGAUGUGCCCAGAUGGGCUUAGCUAGUUGGUGGGGUAACGGCUCACCAAGGCGACGAUCCCUAGCUGGUCUGAGAGGAUGACCGACCACACUGGAACGGAGACACGGUCCGGACGCCUACGGGAGGCAGCAGUGGGGAAUAUUGCACAAUGGGCGCAAGCCUGAUGCAGCCAUGCCGCGUGUAUGAAGAAGGCCUGCGGGUUGUAAAGUACUUUCAGCGGGGAGGCGUUACCCGCAGAAGGAGCACCGGCUAACUCCGUGCCAGCAGCCGCGGUAAUAC
rnacentral:rRNA from 1 species